AUUUAGGUAGCUUAUAUUGAAAGCAUAGUAUUGAAGAUACUAAGAAGAAUUAUAUUCCCUAAAUA
rnacentral:tRNA from 1 species